UCCAAGAGAAACAGUUUUGUGAUAGUUUGAGCUGCGAGUUGAACUACUGCUUUUUCAUGGAGCACUAUAUUGAAUCGAAAGAACAACUGGAGGUGGCUGCACAGUCGUGGCGGAGGUGACCAAAGCCACAUAAUGUCCGUAGUUCAUUCAUCCACCCAUGCCAAGUGGAUCGUGGGGAAGGUGAUUGGGACAAAAAUGCAAAAGACUGCUAAAGUGAGAGUGACCAGGCUUGUUCUGGAUCCCUAUUUAUUAAAGUAUUACAAUAAGCGGAAAACCUACUUUGCUCACGAUGCCCUUCAGCAGUGCACAGUUGGU
rnacentral:lncRNA from 10 species